UCGGGAGCCAAAAAUGUUCAACUCGCAAGACUUUCAGGAUCCAAGGAAUAAAACUAGGGUACUCAGAACUUCAAAACCGGGACAAGAAGAAUUUUAGAACCAUCUAUGAGAGCCAGUGUCUGUAUCUGGAUGGAGAGGUGUACUCAAAACUUCUGCAAAUGCAUGACCCCUCAGGCUUUGACACCUCAAGACACUAUAAGAAGUCCAUAACACAGCAAUCAAUUUCCCUUUUAACAAAGGUAUCAAGAUCAAUAUCCAUUACUUGAUGCUUCAGCUGUAGUUGCAGUCUCUCCCAACAGUGCCCUCAUAGUUCCCAAAAACACUUAUCACUGUCCUCAAUCUAUUGGCAUAUUUUUAAUUUGAUACUUUUGAUAUUUUACAAGCCAGUGCAAUUACAAUAUCAGAUAGCCUUUGCCCAUA